GGGCCCGCACAAGCGGUGGAGCAUGUGGUUUAAUUCGAUGAUACGCGAGGAACCUUACCAGGGCUUAAAUGUAGGUUGCAUGAUCUAGAGAUAGAUCUUUCUUCGGACUACCUACAAGGUGCUGCAUGGUUGUCGUCAGCUCGUGCCGUGAGGUGUCAGGUUAAGUCCUAUAACGAGCGCAACCCCUGUCGUUAGUUGCCAGCGGGUAAUGCCGGGAACUCUAGCGAAACUGCCGGUGCAAACCGUGAGGAAGGUGGGGAUGACGUCAAAUCAUCACGGCCCUUACGUCCUGGGCUACACACGUGCUACAAUGGUCGGUACAGAGAGCAGCCACUACGCGAGUAGGAGCGAAUCUUCAAAACCGAUCUCAGUUCGGAUCGCAGUCUGCAACUCGACUGCGUG
rnacentral:rRNA from 1 species